GACGAACGCUGGCGGCGUGCUUAACACAUGCAAGUCGAACGGAAAGGCCCUGCUUUUGUGGGGUGCUCGAGUGGCGAACGGGUGAGUAACACGUGAGUAACCUGCCCUUGACUUUGGGAUAACUUCAGGAAACUGGGGCUAAUACCGGAUAGGAGCUCCUGCUGCAUGGUGGGGGUUGGAAAUUUUCGGCGGUUGGGGAUGGACUCGCGGCUUAUCAGCUUGUUGGUGGGGUAGUGGCUUACCAAGGCUUUGACGGGUAGCCGGCCUGAGAGGGGGACCGGCCACAUUGGGACUGAGAUACGGCCCAGACUCCUACGGGAGGCAGCAGUGGGGAAUAUUGCACAAUGGGCGGAAGCCUGAUGCAGCAACGCCGCGUGCGGGAUGACGGCCUUCGGGUUGUAAACCGCUUUCGCCUGUGACGAAGCGUGAGUGACGGUAAUGGGUAAAGAAGCACCGGCUAACUACGUG
rnacentral:rRNA from 1 species